rnacentral:rRNA from 1 species
CCGAGAAACAUGCCCGUCGAAAGCCCAAGGUUUCCUGGGGAAGGUUCAUCCACCCAGGGUAGGUCGGGGCCUAAGCCGAGGACGGAAGUCGUAGGCGAUGGAGAGCAGGUUGAAAUUCCUGCACCACCGAGGAAUGAAGCAGUGACGCAGAAGGAUAGCUCGAGCAGGGUGAUGGUCAACUCUGUGCAAGCAUCGAGGUUGGGAUAUAGUGAAGUACGUAUCCCUCUAAGCUGAGGUGUGAUGCGGACCGAAAUUGAGUAGGGAAGCGAGUGAGUUCACGCUGACAAGAAAGGCUGCUAGUACAUCCGAAGGUGCCCGUACCGGAAACCGACGCAGGUGGGCGAGGAGAGAAUCCUGAGACGAACGGGAGAACCCUUGUUAAGGAACUCGGCAAAAUGACCCCGUAACUUCGGGAAAAGGGGUGCCUACGAAAGUAGGUCGCAGAGAAUAGUCACAAGCGACUGUUUAGCAAAAACACAGGUAUCUGCGAAAGCGAGAGCUGACGUAUAGGUGCUGACACCUGCCCGGUGCUGGAAGGUUAAGGGAACAUGUUAGAGCAAUCGAAGCAUCGAACCGAAGCCCCAGUAAACGGCGGCCGUAACAAUAACGGUCCUAAGGUAGCGAAAUUCCUUGUCGGGUAAGUUCCGACCCGCACGAAUGGUGUAACGACUUGUGAGCUGUCUCAACAGGGGGCCCGGUGAAAUUGAAGUAUGGGUGAAGAUGCCCAUUACCCGCGACUGGACGGAAAGACCCCGUAGAGCUUUACUGCAGCCUGAUAUUGGAUUUCGGUAACGGAUGUACAGGAUAGGUGGGAGGCUGGGAAACCGUGACGUCAGUCAUGGCGGAGCCGCCGGUGGGAUACCACUCUUUUGUUACUGAAACUCUAACAUGGACCCGUGAAACCGGGUAAUGGACAGUGUCAGGUGGACAGUUUGACUGGGGCGGUCGCCUCCGAAAGAGUAACGGAGGCGCCCAAAGGUACCCUCAGAAUGGAUGGAAACCAUUCGAAGAGUGCAAAGGCAGAAGGGUGCCUGACUGCGAGAGUGACAAUUCGAGCAGAGACGAAAGUCGGGCUUAGUGAUCCGGUGGUUUUUGAGUGGAAAAGCCGUCGCUUAACGGAUAAAAGCUACCUCGGGGAUAACAGGCUGAUCUCCCCCAAGAGUCCACAUCGACGGGGAGGUUUGGCACCUCGAUGUCGGCUCGUCGCAUCCUGGGGCUGAAGCAGGUCCCAAGGGUUUGGCUGUUCGCCAAUUAAAGCGGCACGCGAGCUGGGUUCAGAACGUCGUGAGACAGUUCGGUCCCUAUCCAUCGUGGGCGUAGGAGUCAUGAGAGGAGCUGUUCCUAGUACGAGAGGACCGGAAUGGACGCAUCACUGGUGCAACUGUUGUCGUGCCAACGGCAUAGCAGGGAAGCGAAAUGCGGAUGGGAUAAACGCUGAAGGCAUCUAAGCGUGAAGCCCACCUCGAGAAGAAGACUCCCAUUCGAAAGAAGUAAGACCCCUGGAGGACUACCAGGUAGAUAGGUCAUCGGUGGAAGUUCGGUAACGAAUGGAGCUUGAUAAUACUAAUAGGUCGAGGGCUUGACU